AUUGAACGCUGGCGGCAUGCCUUACACAUGCAAGUCGAACGGUAACGGGUCCUUCGAGAUGCCGACGAGUGGCGAACGGGUGAGUAAUAUAUCGGAACGUGCCCAGUAGUGGGGGAUAACUGCUCGAAAGAGCAGCUAAUACCGCAUACGACCUGAGGGUGAAAGGGGGGGAUCGCAAGACCUCUCGCUAUUGGAGCGGCCGAUAUCAGAUUAGCUAGUUGGUGGGGUAAAGGCCUACCAAGGCAACGAUCUGUAGUUGGUCUGAGAGGACGACCAGCCACACUGGGACUGAGACACGGCCCAGACUCCUACGGGAGGAAGCAGUGGGGAAUUUUGGACAAUGGGCGCAAGCCUGAUCCAGCAAUGCCGCGUGCAGGAAGAAGGCCUUCGGGUUGUAAACUGCUUUUGUCAGGGAAGAAAUCUUCUGGGCUAAUACCCCGGGAGGAUGACGGUACCUGAAGAAUAAGCACCGGCUAACUACGUGCCAGCAGCCGCCGUAAAAC
rnacentral:rRNA from 1 species